rnacentral:piRNA from 1 species
UCCCUGGCUGCAUGUUUGCUGAGC